rnacentral:rRNA from 1 species
UAAGACGAACCGUGCAAACGUUAUUCGGAAUCAUUGGGCUUAAAGAGCGCGUAGGCGGCGUCGUAAGUUGGAGGUGAAAUCCCAUCGGCUCAACCGUGGAACUGCCCCCAAUACUGCGACGCUUGAGGGAGGUAGGGGCAUGCGGAACUUCCAGUGGAGCGGUGAAAUGUGUUGAGAUUGGAAGGAACGCCAGUGGCGAAAGCGGCAUGCUGGAUCUCUUCUGACGCUGAGGCGCGAAAGCUAGGGUAGCGAACGGGAUUAGAUACCCCGGUAGUCCUAGCCUUAAACGAUGGGUACUGGGUAGGAAGCGCUCCGAUGGUGCCUCCUGCCGCAGCGAAAGUGUUAAGUACCCCGCCUGGGGAGUAUGGUCGCAAGGCUG